rnacentral:rRNA from 1 species
CAGUGGGGAUUUUUCCGCAAUGGGCGAAAGCCUGACGGAGCAAGACCGCGUGGGGGAGGAAGGCUCUAGGGUUGUAAACCCCUUUUCUUUGGGAAGAAGUACUGACGGUACCAAAGGAAUCAGCCUCGGCUAUCUCCGUGCCAGCAGCCGCGGUAAUACGGAGGAGGCAAGCGUUAUCCGGAAUGAUUGGGCGUAAAGCGUCCGCAGGUGGCCAUGUAAGUCUGCUGUCAAAACCCAGGGCUCAACUCUGGUCAGGCAGUGGAAACUACAAAGCUAGACUCUGGUAGGGGCAAAGGGAAUUCCCGGCGUAGCGGUGAAAUGCAGUAGAUUUCGGGAAGAACAUCGGUGGCGAAAGCGCUUUGCUAGACCAGAACUGACACUCAGGGAGCGAAAUGCUAGGGGAGGCGAAUGGGAUUAGAUACCCCAGUAGUCCUAGUCAGUA